CCCUUAGAUGUUCUGGGCUGCACACGUGCUACACUGGCAGGUUCAGCGAGCUUCAUGCCCUGAUCUGAAAGGAAUGGGAAAUCUUUUCAAAACCUGCCGUGCUUGGGAUAGAUGUUUGCAAUUAUUCAUCUUCAACGAGGAUUGCCUUGUAAGCGCACGUCAUCAGCGUGCAUUGAAUACGACCCUGUAUUCUGUACACACCGCCCGUCGCUCCUACCGAUUGAAGUUUUCGGUGAGUUGACAGGAGGAUUUUUUUGAAACUGGUUCGCCAGUGGAUUUUAGAUCCAAUGCCAACGAAUCGAUGGCUUUAGAGGAAGGAGAAGUCGUAACA
rnacentral:rRNA from 1 species